GCCGGUAUGAUGGAAUUGGUAGACGUAGUGGACUCAAAAUCCACCGCUGGCGACAGCGUGCCGGUUCGACUCCGGCUACCGGCACCA
rnacentral:tRNA from 1 species